CGGGCAUAACAUAACGCCUGCACCGCAUCUGCACCUUGCCAUUCGUUUCGAGUGUUGCGCUGUGCCUGCACCGCAGAAACAAGCUGCACAAUUUCUGAAUUUCUUGUGAACCUCCGUUAACUGGUUCACAGUUGUGCAGGUGAAUUGAAGAGACCUUUUAAGUGCUUCCACAUGAACUUCUUAUUUGCCCUUACGUUGCUUGGUGGCCUGAUGGCUGCUUUGAUUCAAUUGAUUCAAAUGUGAGAUUCAACAUUGAAAAAAAUUCAAGGAUAUGAAUGCUCAUGAAGGCCAAAAUUCAGUGACAUACAAAUGCAUUAAUUCUACACAUAAACUAAAUAUUGUCAAAUUUCCUAUUUCCUAGCUACAUUCAGUUAAGCAUGCUACUAAGUUGGAAUUGCUGGAAAAGUGUAAAAAAGGCAAUUCUCUUUUAUAGUGUAGAGUGUUGACUGAUAACUGCCCUUACGGCCAGAAUUGGCGUGCUUACCUUGAGGAGGAUGCUUUAGUUCAGUGCCAACUCUAAUCUCUUUAUUCAAAUACAUGUAAAAUGCAGAAAUGCUUUUGAGACAACUACUCGAAUAAUUUCAAUGAAAUUUGUUGCAUUUGAGAGAAAAAGUUAAAUUUUAGUCAUUCUAGGCUGCAUAAUUUUGAUUUAGGACCUUGAAUAUUUGGAAAAAUUGCUGAGAGUCAGUAAGCUUAAAAAAUAUAAGCACGAAGUUUGCAAUGUCAUAGCUUUUGUAUCAAGUUGUAAACUUCAUACGGAAGUCUUUUUAAUUUCACAAUUUUCAAAAUUUCCUGCCACAAUACAUUGCCCCUAAAACAGUGGCUACAUUCCAGCUUUUUUUUUUCUUUUUAACAUGUAACCAACCUCAUCUAAUUCCAUUGCUGGCUUCAGAGAAAAACUAUUUCUCUUUUCCCAUGUAUUCAGAUAGGAGCUCCCGAGAUAAAACUGCCUCUAAGUCAGGUAAAUCAUUGUAUUAAAGAACAUAAGGAGGAGGAGGACAAGAAAAAACAUUUAUUAAAGAAAAGAAAGGAAAAGCAGGUGUCUUUCUGCUUGUGUGGGAGGCGCCCUUAGUCCAGGACUCCUGCGGCUCUUGGUGUCUCCCGGGCUCGCCACACCUGGUGUAACAAGAAUUGUUUUCUCAUCUGAAUUUCUGGAGUAUACUUUUUCCUUUGUCAUAAGUGGAAAGGUAAUCAGCAACGUUCUCACACCUACACUGUCCUUAUUGAACUUUCCAAAAGGGGAACGUAUCCAAUAAAAUAAAGCACUAAUUUACUUUCA
rnacentral:lncRNA from 1 species